GGCUCCACAGUGUAGUGGUUAGCACGUCUGCUUUACAGGCAGAAGGUCCCAGGUUCAUGCCCCAGCUGGAGCCA
rfam:Pteropus alecto contig25396, whole genome shotgun sequence.